GAUGAACGCUGGCGGCGUGCUUAAGACAUGCAAGUCGAACGGAGUGUGUAGCAAUACUCACUAAGUGGCGAAUGGGUGAGUAACACGUAGGUGACCUGCCCUGAAGUGCGGAAUAACAGUCCGAAAGGAUUGCUAAUACCGCAUGUGGUCCCGGGCGUUAGAGAACCGGGUCUAAAGCAGUAAUGCGCUUCAGGAGGGGCCUGCGGUCCAUCAGCUAGUUGGUAGGGAAUGGCCUACCAAGGCAACGACGGAUAGGGGACCUGAGAGGGUGGCCCCCACC
rnacentral:rRNA from 1 species